rnacentral:tRNA from 1 species
CCCCUGGUGGCUCAGACGGUAAAGCGUCUGCCUAAAAUGCGGGAGACCCAGGUUCAGUUCCUGGGUUGGGAA